ACGAGGCCCCUUCGGGGACCGAGUUAGUGGCGGACGGGUGAGUAACGCGUGAGCAACCUGCCUUUCAGAGGGGGACAACAGUUGGAAACGACUGCUAAUACCGCAUGAUGCAGCGGGAUCGCAUGGUCUUGCUGUCAAAGAUUUAUCGCUGAAAGAUGGGCUCGCGUCUGAUUAGCUAGUUGGAGGGGUAACGGCCCACCAAGGCGACGAUCAGUAGCCGGACUGAGAGGUUGAACGGCCACAUUGGGACUGAGAUACGGCCCAGACUCC
rnacentral:rRNA from 1 species